rnacentral:piRNA from 1 species
ACAGAGUCUAUCGUUUCUGUCUACAUUCA